rnacentral:rRNA from 1 species
GAUGAACGCUGACAGAAUGCUUAACACAUGCAAGUCAACUGUGGCGGACGGGUGAGUAACGCGUAAAGAACUUGCCUCACAGAUAGGGACAACAUUUGGAAACGAAUGCUAAUACCUGAUACUGUGAGGGAGCUUUGCGUCCCAUUAGCUAGUUGGAGAGGUAACGUCUCACCAAGGCGAUGAUGGGUAGCCGGCCGGAGAGUGUGAUCGGCCACAAGGGGACUGAGACACGGCCCUUACUCAUACGGGAGGCAUCAGUGGGGAAUAUUGUACAAUGUACCACAGUCUGAUCCAGCAAUGCGGUGUGCACGAUGGAGUUUUCGGAAUGUAAAGUGCUUUCAGUUGGGAAGCGGUACCAACAGAAGAAGUGACGGCUAAAUAAGUGCCAGCAGCCGCGGUAAUAC